rnacentral:rRNA from 1 species
UACAGAGGGUGCGAGCGUUGUCCGGAAUCACUGGGCGUAAAGGGCGUUGUAGGUGGCGGCCCAAGUCCAUGGUGAAAGCUCGAUGACUCCAACAUCGAGUACGCCACGGAUACGUGGGUUGCUUGAGCACUGUAGGGGCAGAGUGGAAUUCCGGGUGGUAGCGGUGGAAUGCGUAGAGAUCCGGAAGAACACCGGUGGCGAAGGCGGUCUGCUGG